CGAAGCGGCCACACCCGGCUGGCAACAUCCAGCUCCACUCCGAACCUGGAAAUUAAGCAGUCGCGGGCCACAUCAGUACUGGGCUGGGCGACUUCCCCGGGAACGUGCCGGUGCUUGCUUCUU
rfam:Trichomonas vaginalis G3, whole genome shotgun sequence.